rnacentral:rRNA from 1 species
CCUACGGGAGGCAGCAGUGGGGAAUAUUGGACAAUGGGCGCAAGCCUGAUCCAGCCAUGCCGCGUGUGUGAAGAAGGCCUGAGGGUUGUAAAGCACUUUCAGUGGGGAGGAGGAUUGACAGGUUAAGAGCUAGUUAAUUGGACGUUACCCACAGAAGAAGCACCGGCUAACUCCGUGCCAGCAGCCGCGGUAAU